UACGUAUGGUGCAAGCGUUAUCCGGAUUUACUGGGUGUAAAGGGAGCGCAGGCGGCACGGCAAGCCUGAUGUGAAAGCCCGCGGCCCAACCGCGGGACUGCAUUGGGAACUACCGGGCUGGAGUGCCGGAGAGGUAGGCGGAAUUCCUAGUGUAGCGGUGAAAUGCGUAGAUAUUAGGAGGAACACCAGUGGCGAAGGCGGCCUACUGGACGGUGACUGACGCUGAGGCACGAAAGCGUGGGUAUCGAACAGG
rnacentral:rRNA from 1 species